GGCCUGUCAAAAACUGGCGCUUUUUUCCUCCCCUUUCCGUGGAGAGACUAUCAACUCCAUCUGUCACAAAAAUUAAGGCUAAAUCUCCUCUCCAGAAGCAGAGGGAGCCGGGGCUCCGACGCGCUCAGCGUCGGGCUGUCUGCCUCUCCCUAGAGGCCAAGUGAAUUUGAAAUGGCAAAAGUCACAGCCGGAGGCCCAGCACUAGGAGAUUCCUCCGGCUGCGGGAAAUCUUCCUGUACCUGCUGAAGCUGCUGCGUUCCUCAGAGGCGCUUGGUCUGCCGUGGGAAGCUGCACCUCUGCAGUCCCCAAAACCAAAAUCAAACCUUAAAAGAGCCAGACUGAGAAGCCAGUCACCACGUAAGACAUCUGGACCACCUUCAGACUCGCAUGCUGUGAGGAAGCCCAUGCUUACUAUGUGUAGAGGAUACAUGGAGAAGGAAAGAGAUGCCUGGCCAGCUCCCUGCUGUUUCAGCCAUGUGAGUGAAGAAGGCACCAGACUUGUUGAUCCUGAGAUCUUGUUCCCGAUCUUCCAUUUUUGCA
rnacentral:lncRNA from 10 species